CAGUCGCCGCGGUAAUACGGAGGGUGCAAGCGUUAAUCGGAAUUACUGGGCGUAAAGCGUGCGUAGGCGGUUUGUUAAGUCUGCUGUGAAAUCCCCGGGCUCAACCUGGGAAUGGCAGUGGAUACUGGCAAGCUAGAGUGUGUCAGAGGAUGGUGGAAUUCCCGGUGUAGCGGUGAAAUGCGUAGAGAUCGGGAGGAACAUCAGUGGCGAAGGCGGCCAUCUGGGACAACACUGACGCUGAGGCACGAAAGCGUGGGGAGCAAACAGGAUUAGAUACCCCUGUAGUCCCUGUCUCUUAUAC
rnacentral:rRNA from 1 species